CCUACGGGUGGCAGCAGUGAGGAAUAUUGGUCAAUGGGCGCGAGCCUGAACCAGCCAAGCCGCGUGAAGGAUGAAGGCUCUAUGGUUUGUAAACUUCUUUUAUAUGGGAGUAAAGUGAGGAACGUGUUCCUUUUUGUAUGUACCAUACGAAUAAGCAUCGGCUAACUCCGUGCCAGCAGCCGCGGUAAUACGGAGGAUGCGAGCGUUAUCCGGAUUUAUUGGGUUUAAAGGGUGCGUAGGUGGUUCAUUAAGUCAGCGGUGAAAGUUUGUGGCUCAACCAUGGAAUUGCCGUUGAAACUGGUGGGCUUGAGUAUAUUUGAGGUAGGCGGAAUGCGUGGUGUAGCGGUGAAAUGCAUAGAGAUCACGCAGAACUCCGAUUGCGAAGGCAGCUUACUAAACUAUAACUGACGCUGAGGCACGAAAGCGUGGGGAUCAAACAGGAUUAGAUACCCGAGUAGUC
rnacentral:rRNA from 1 species